rnacentral:sRNA from 1 species
CUGAGUUCAGUUCCCAGCUAACCAUCUAUAAUGAGUUUGGUGCCCUCUUCUGGCCUGCAGGCAUACAUGUAGGUAGAACGCUGUAUGAAUAAACAAGUCUUUAAAUAAAUAAAUAAAUAAAUAAAUAAAUAAAUAAAUAAAUAAAUAAAUAAAUAAAUAAGAGGAAAACGGGGGAAGCUGGGGUGGGGAGGCAUGCCUUUAAUCCCAACACAUAGGAGGCAGAGGUGGAUGGAUCUCAGAAUUUGAGGCUAGCCUGGUCUUCAGAGGGAGAGAGAGUUCCAGGACAGCAGCAAAUGUUACACAGGGCUAUAUCUUGUCUCAAAAGAAAAAAAGUUACAUACAAUUUUAACAAUUAUGAGCGUGUGUAUGUGUGCACGAUGGUCUUCAUGUAAAGAGGAGAACUUCUUUAGAGUCCUUUCCAUCCUAUGGGGUCCAGGGAUCAAGCUCUGGUCAUUAGGGAUGGUGAUAAGAGCUUUUUAUAGCUGAGCCAUUUGGCCAGCCUCCUAAUUUUAUGUUUUGGGGACAGGUCUGUGUAGCCUAGGCUGGACCUGGAAUUCACUGAGGAUGUAGAUCUCAGCCUCCUGAGUGCUGGAGUGACACAUAUGCACCCAGGGUCUCAUUGUGCAGCCGUGGCUGCCCUGGAACUCACUCUGCAGACCAGGCUGGCCUCAGUUUCACAGACCAGCUUGUGGUGUGUAGGCAGGGCUUAACGCUGUGUCUUCCUCCAUGGCCUCUACCUUACUUCCUGAACUACUUACUAAAUUUUAUUGUGUGUGAGUGGUGAAUGUGGAGGGCAGAGAACACUACUGAACGCCCACUCUCUCUGCCUUCAUGUGGGUCCCAGGAUCAACUCAGGUCAGCAGGAUUGACCAGCAAGUGCCCUUAUAUGCUGGGACACUUCACUGGCCCUCAUGUGGUUUGUAAUAGGAAUUCAUUAAGUCCAGGCUGCCCUUACCUCGCUAUGUAACUAAGGAUGAUCUUGUUCUGAUCUUCCUGCCUCUGAGAACCUGGAAUUUCAAGCGUGUAUCAGCAGGGAUGGAACUUGGGGUCUUUCCAAGCUAGCUAACUGUUCUAUCAGAGGUAUGGCCUCAGCCCUUUCAGUUAUAUUUUAUGACAGGGUCUCUCACUGAACCUGGAACUGGACUAUUUUGGCUAGACUGGAUGACUAGCAAGCCCCCAGGAUGUGCCUACCACUGAUUCCCAAGUGCUGGGGCCACUGACAUGUCUGGCCUUUUUUGAGUAUGGGGAUAUAAACUCCGGUCUUCAAGCUUGCACCAUAAACAAUUCACUCACUGAGCCUCUCUUGGAUAAUGUUUUAUGCCAACUUGAUACAAGCUAGAGCCCUUGCAGCAGGGAGCCUCAAUUAAGGGCAAGCCUGUGGGACAUUGUCUAUUCUGUUAAGACAAGGUUUCUCUGUGUAGGUCAGGCUAGCCUCAAAUUCUGAGGGCUGGGAUUAAAGGUGUAUGCCAUAGUUGCCUGGAUAUAUGUCUUAUUAAUCAGUGAUUGUAGGGGAGGGCUCAGCCCAUUGUGGGCAGUGGCAUCCCAGAGAUGGUGGUUCCUAUAAGAAAGGCUGAGCAAGCUGUAAGGAGCAUGCCAGUAAGCGGCUCCCUCCAUGGUCUCUGCAUAAGCUCCUGCCACAGGUCCUGCCUGACAUUCUUCAGAGACGUACUGUGGGCAGAGACAGGAAUCCUUUCUUCCACCAGCUGUUUCCGGUAGAAUCCAAACUAAGCCACAAGUAAAAUGCAUAGAUGUAAAAUGCAUGGUCAAUCUAAGACAACGCCACACUGAGUGGAUGACAAUGGUCUUGAACUCCUGACCCUCCUCUCCUACUCAGCACUCUUGUGGGGAUGACAGGUGGGCAGUGUCAGAUUUUGCUCUAACAUCUGCUGUAGUUCUCCAGAGGACCAAGGUUUUAGUCCUACCUCAGGGGUCCAAAUUCCAGGUCCCUCUGGCUUUCCCCACCUAUGUGGGUAGUUGCCCCUAUCCAAUCCCUCUGCAAUACCAGCCCUUUCUUCCAGGAAGCUUUUCUUGCUGCUUUGUUGUCAGAGGCAAGACAAGAGGGUUUUCUUGCUCAGGGUCCUGUGGUCCCUAUGAUUCUAUUUCAGAUCUGACCCCUGUGUGCACAACACCCCAGCUCUAAAUCCACAUUACCUAUCAAGGGGCCCUUCAUGACAAGACAGGGACUGCUGACAGAACUCAGCAGGUGAAGGACUCCUUGACCUAAGUUCAGUCCCAGGAAUGCACACCUUAAAAGGAGAGGACAGUUAGUUACUAACUGCAGAUGGGCCAUUGUGCUAAAACAGAAGCUAGCGCUUGUUUGUGAGGGACACAUAACCUAGGAGCUAAAGGCCUUGUCCAAGUCCUGGGGUCAAGCAGGGGCCCCAAGAUCCCUGACCCCUGACCAGUUUUCCAGAACUGUAGGUUAAUAGAUACGUAGUGCUCCAAGAAACGUGAAUAUUUAUUAGCAAGUCGGUAAUACUUUGGAAUGGCUGGAAACGUUGGGGUGGAUGAGCCUGUCUUGCAAAGAUACCUUCAAAUAUAUUUACAAAAACGGACGAGAUAUCGCAGGUGCUGGUGGUCGGUGAGCAGAGGAACGGGGAUUCGUCUAAAAACCUACGAAAGGACAGGUCCCCACUUUCAACUUGCCCCAACUUCUCG